GCAGUGAAUUGGUGGCGGCAGGUGUAAGUAAUUGCUGAGAUUUGGGUUUGGGGAGUGGGCUCACGAGUGUUUAUGACAUUAUUAUAAAUGAAUAUAUGAGUGCAUAAAUUAGCAAAAUAAAAGGGGGCUUUUCUGGACCAAUGAUGAGACAGUGUUUAUGAACAAAAGAUCAUGAUUAAUCCAGUUCUGCACAAAACACUGAGGUCCAUUAGAAGACAAUAGGUCUUGGCUGUUUCAUUCCUUUUAAGAGCUGUUUAAUAUUCCACGGAGCCCUGGGCUCCCCCAGUGUUGCCUGGGUCUGACUUUGCCUCAGUGAAAACUGCCUCGAAUUCUUUCUUGCACCGAUGGGCAGAUGGGCAGUGUCGGAGGAUCGUGUCAUCUGUCCCGUGGCGCUGGUUGGCUUGGUCAAGUCAGUGUUCAAACUAUCUCCUGCUCUUUCAAGGGGAUCUGGGGCUCUAGAAGAUUAGAGGACUUGGAGAGGUUAGUGACUUGCUCGAGGUCGGCUAGGAAGCAAGACCCAGGAUUCCAACUCAGGUCUGUGUGAUUCCUCUGCAAAAUGGAGAGGUGGAAGGAUGGAUGUCAGGUCUGAUGGAUGGAUGGAUGCCUACAUCAAGAUACAUGCAUAGAUGGAGAGAUGGCUGGCUACCUCAUGAAUGCUGGACUGUUGUGAGAAUCAAACGAGAUAAUGUAUGCUGAGGCAUGCUGUGAACACUACGUGCUGGGUACAGGAGAAUGGAGGCUCCAGAGUGAAAUUAAUGACACUUUGUCGAUGAAGAUCUUGAUUGUGACCUCUGUGGAAAAUGAGCCAUGAACCAACCAAUAAUGAAAACCAUGUAGCUGGUCUUAUUAUUCUCUAAUCAUGAAGACCAUUAUUGUUAUUUGUGGACUAAGGAGCAGAAAGACUGAUAGUGGACAUAGGCCAGCUGAUUUAAUAAUUUAAGAAAGAACUGUUAUCCUGAGUAAGGAGCAUAGAGACAAAUAUAAAAUGAAGACCAUGGUUGAUUUAAUCAGUCUCUGCUGAUGAAGAUCUUGGCUGUUACCUUUGUGUAAUGAAUGCGCAAUGAUUCAAUUAUUCUCCAGCGAGGAAGAUCAUGGUUGUUGUCUGUUUGAGUAAUGAGUGUAGAAACCUAUAAUGGAGGCGUGAUGGCUGAUGCAAUCAUUUUCCACUGAUGAAGGUUUUGAUGGCCACCUGUAAUGAACAGCCCCAUCUGAUUUAAUCACUGUGCAAUGACCGUGAACUGUACAGUUACCUCCGUGUGUCACAGGAAGACUCUUUUGACUUAAGCACCCUUCCAUGGUCAUGAGGUUUCUGGUUGCCUCUGUGUGUUAGAAGCUUGGAGACCAAUGCCUUCUGCUGUGAUCGCGUUCUCCACAGUUGCCUCUGGGUAGGAGCCUGGACACUAAUAGAAAAUGGAUGCACUGGAGCUGAUUUAAACAUUCUUUGGUGGUCACAAGAUGUAUAGCUGCCUCUGUAUGUUUGGCGCAUGGAAAAAAAUAUGAGUUUUUGUGGACAUACACUCUUUAUUUGAAAAGUAUGAAAUAUAAUCCAAGAAAGCCAGCCAUGGCUCAGUGAUAAAUAUGGAAUUGAUAUGAAACAUUAUAUUGAUUAAUCACCUUUGAGGAUGAUUAAUAAAAGAGAGAAAGUGAUUCUAUAUAGAGAUGCAGGACUAUUUCAGGCUCAUUCAUGAUCUAGGUUUUUGUGCUUCAUGGUUAUUUUAUUAUCAUCAAUAAAAAGAAAAAAGAAAAAAAUCUUAUACUGUCCAAAAAAUUAGGGAGACCAGCGCCCAGUGUUCAUGUGAGGGGGGACUAGUGUCCAUUUCCACCAAGCAGCCUGGAAAUGCUCAUCCUCACAGGGCAUUGGAGAGGUUUCUCAAGAAGCGAGUGCCUCCAUGGGGGAAAUAAUUAACCCCAGAUUAAAUGCUGCUUCAGACCUAAUGGAUGGUAAAAACAAGAUCCAAAAGGAUCAAACUCUUUCCAGGUAGAUUAACUGUAUCCCAGAACAAAGCUCAAGGACAUUUUUAGAAAUACGUAUAUAUCCAGCACACAAGCAGGGUAAAAUUCACAUCUGCAAAUUUACCAGGCAUUCAAAGGGGCAAAAAAUACACAACCCACAAUUAAGAGACUAAUGAAUUAAUCAAAACCAACCCAGAACUUAUACAGAUGUGAGCAUUAGCAGAAAAGGACUUGAAGUAGUUAUUAGAACUGUCUCCCUGGCCGGGUGUGGUGGCUCAUGCCUGUAAUCCCAGCACUUUGGGAGGCCGAGGUGGGUGGAUCACCUCAGGUCAGGAGUUCAAGACCAGUCUGGCCAAAAUGGUGAAACCCCACCUCUACUAAACAUGGACCAAUGAUGACCACUGGUGGCGUUUGAGUCAUGGACGAUGAAUACUACGUGUCUGAAACUCUGAGGUCCAACAGAAAACAUAAUUGGAUAGAUAUCAGAAAUGUGCAAAGAUCAUAUUCUUACUUUGGAUUAAUAGAUUGAGGUUCAUCAUCAAUAGAUAAAUGAUAGAACAAUUAAACAAGAAUAAAUAAAGGUGAAUCAUUGUUCAAUUAUGAAUAUACAUGAUGAUGUAAGAAAUAUUAUCACUAAAAAUUUUAAACACAGAUGCCCCUUAAAGAAAUGGAUCAUGAGUCCCGCCACUGCACUCCAGCCUGGGCGACAGA
rnacentral:lncRNA from 1 species